UCCUCGCACACAGUGAUACACGCGUGCGCGACGCUACACACAGUACUGCACACAAGUACACCGACAGCCGGCUAGUCAGAGGAACACUCGAUUUCAGUCGAAAGCGAAAACUCGCUUAGCCAGCCCAUUUAAUCGUGUUGCAGCGCGCUAAACCCCGUUUUAUGUAAAACGUACGCGUUCUUAUUGGUGCUUAUCGUUCAUCCAUUUAUUUCGAUGUGUUAAAUAACGCGUAGUCGAAACGUAAACGUUACCACGAUCUCGAAAAAACGAUCAGAUGUCGUUCGAUUGUUGCGGCAGCGGUGAAGUCGCCGGUGAGACGUUCGCGGACGUCCUUGAAAAUGUUUUACGAGUACCGCGUGCAGUGUACGCCAGCUUUUACCGUAACGUAGAGGAUUUUGCGUACGGGUGUCCCUUGUUGUUCAUCGUUGUUGCUAUUGUCCUAUUAAUAAGUUUGUUCACCAUAUCCCACGUUCACGUCACGCCGCCUAGCCGUUCCAGACUCGAAGAGUAGCGCGAUCUUACGGUACACCCACGAGACUAUUUUUCUUUCGUUUAUUCUCGCGGGUGAAAACAACUUCGAUAAUCCGGUACGCGCUUAGUCACACGUGCUCGGUGUUCGAACAUGUGAUCCUUGAAACCCUGGGAUAUCUAAUUCCGUUAACAAUCAAAUCGUACGUUCAUCGUAUCGUUCCUGCGAAAAAAGAAACUGUUUCGAUAAUGAAAACACGCAGUGAGAGAAAAGCCAUCUUAUUUCAACCCAUGAAAACUAACGUCACAGCCUGUACACGUUGCUGGAUCUGCGACGGUUGUUCCGGUUCGCCGUUGCGUCGAUAGUGAUAUCCUACUUUAUUCGGCCCAAACGUUGCACGGAACGUUGGCUAGAAUAUUAUUGCUGUUAACUAUGAUGUGUCGUUUGCUAAUGAUGCGGACACCGAACGUCAGCCGCGGGACAAACAACGAAGCCGCGUGGAUGGAGGCGGAGGAGGAGGAGGACGAGGAGGAGGAAUGAAUGAACGGAAAGAGGUGGAUCGAGUACAACGCGGUGCGAGGGGAUGCUACGAUCGUCGUGUUGUCACAGCUCGUUCGCUUGCCGAUUUGCAUCGAAUUUUGUCUGCACCUGAAGAGCGUGUUUUGAGGACGAGCGACGGAGGUUCAUGGGAAGCUUAUAUAUUGAUCGUUGAAUCGAGCAGGAGCGAGAAAUGUUCGUAGAUCUCGUAGCUUUCUCGUGGUGAUUUUAGCAAAUUCCGCCACACGGGUAAGAAAAAUUUGGAACCUGAUACGUAGAGUUGAAAUUGGGCUCACGGUAUUUCACGAAUGGUUCCUCCGAAUAGAAAUCCGGUUCGCGUCCUCGAUUUUGCGUGGUGGAAUCGACCGGCUCGGUUUUUCGAUGCGGAAGGCUCGGAACGUCGGACGGGUUACGUUCUUUUCAUUAAUUUCGAGUUGGAGCGUGUUACGGUCGCGUCUGCGAUUGCGUAAGAACUUUCGAAGAGAAUUCGAACCCGAAUUCGCCUUGCGCGCGAUGUCGAAAACUAUCGCGGAAGACGAGGUCGGAGGUUAGAGCGGACCGACGAGUCGGAAAGACGGAUCGCGAGGCUAGACGAGAUGAAACGAAACGAAAUUCCAUUGCACCCCGUUCUCGGAAGUAAUUUGAUCGUAUCUAGGAAGUCGCUCGCUCGCUCGUUCGCUCGUUCGCCUACACUUUCUACGGGAACUUUCAUCGAGGCGUUACCUCGUUUGUUCGGCCGUUUGUUUCGGCGUGUCUCCGUGAAAAUUUGCAACGCGCGAAAAGGUUGCCGCGACUCGAUCGUCCUCUGGACGAAAAGAGCAAACUUCGAGAAUCGUUUUCUCGACAGGGACGAAAUCGACCGAGUCUCGGCGAGCAUCGAUCUCGUGAUCACCGUUACGGCGAGUCGCCGCUUUCACUCGAAUUCUAUGGUUUUUUGCGUCGAGUUUCCACGCGUCGACUAGUCUCGUGGUCGUCGGUGGUUGCGCGAAUGGAUUUUGACCGCGAAAACGGGUCGCGGCGUUCACCGAAGGAAACGAAGCGGCGAACGUGUCGCGGACGGGGGUGCCAGAAAAUAUAGGUUGAGUCGGCGGACGUUCGAUUCGGGUCAAGAUUUUUCAUCGGAGAUCGUUUCGGACGACCCGGUGGAAACGUUCCUCGCUCCAACAGCCUAGGCUUGAGUCCCGGAAAUCUCGGGUAGCCGCACACAUCCCUAAUCGCGGAGCGAUCGGACCGAUGGAACAGCUGCCAGAGUUUUUGGGUCCAGGCGCGGCGUGGAGCGGCGCGUAGCCGCGUAAACGCGCGCAUCGAGGUCUCGUUCCCUUCGUCGAGGUUCGUCUGGAAUGCAGAAAGAAGGGGUGGGUAAAAGUAGGGUGAGAACGAUGAUCGCAGAGGGGAUGGUCGACCGUGUGCGUGGAACAGCAGUCUGGCCAGUUGAUUACGAUGCCGAAACGAGUGGCUGGCCGGCCAUCUCUCCAACCAGUUUCGGACAGCGCGCCGCGUCUUCUCGGCUCGGAACGAGGCCUACGCGAGCACGAGCUCCGCGCAAAGAGACGGCAGUCCGAGGCUCCGCGAGAGAAAAGGAGACGCGGCCAGGGAGAGCGAAUGAGAACGGAGGAGAACGGUGGAGAACGGAGGAGAACGAAGGAGACCAGCGGAGAGAAAAAGAGAGCGUGAUCAGGAGAGAAGGACAGUCGCAGGGAACGGGAACGGGAACGGGAACGGGACCGUGAGCCGAGAG